rnacentral:rRNA from 1 species
UACGUAGGUGGCAAGCGUUAUCCGGAUUUAUUGGGCGUAAAGAGAACGCAGGCGGUCUUUUAAGUCUGAUGUGAAAGCCUUCGGCUUAACCGGAGUAGUGCAUUGGGAACUGGGAGACUUGAGUGCAGAAGAGGAGAGUGGAACUCCAUGUGUAGCGGUGAAAUGCGUAGAUAUAUGGAAGAACACCAGUGGCGAAAGCGGCUCUCUGGUCUGUAACUGACGCUGAGGUUCGAAAGCGUGGGUAGCAAACAGG